GACGAACGCUGGCGGCGUGCCUAAUACAUGCAAGUUGAGCGCUGAAGGUUGGUACUUGUACCAACUGGAUGAGCAGCGAACGGGUGAGUAACGCGUGGGGAAUCUGCCUUUGAGCGGGGGACAACAUUUGGAAACGAAUGCUAAUACCGCAUAAAAACUUUAAACACAAGUUUUAAGUUUGAAAGAUGCAAUUGCAUCACUCAAAGAUGAUCCCGCGUUGUAUUAGCUAGUUGGUGAGGUAAAGGCUCACCAAGGCGAUGAUACAUAGCCGACCUGAGAGGGUGAUCGGCCACAUUGGGACUGAGACACGGCUCAAACUCCUACGGGAGGCAGCAGUAGGGAAUCUUCGGCAAUGGACGAAAGUCUGACCGAGCAACGCCGCGUGAGUGAAGAAGGUUUUCGGAUCGUAAAACUCUGUUGGUAGAGAAGAACGUUGGUGAGAGUGGAAAGCUCAUCAAGUGACGGUAACUACCCAGAAAGGGACGGCUAACUACGUG
rnacentral:rRNA from 1 species